rnacentral:tRNA from 1 species
GCCUGGGUGGCUCAGUGGUUGAGCAUCUGCCUUCAGCUCAGGGCAUGAUCCUGGAGUCCUGGGAUCUAAUCCCACAUCAGGCU